rnacentral:rRNA from 1 species
UUUAACGCUGGCGGCAGGCCUAACACAUGCAAGUCGAGCGGAUAAAGGGAGCUUUCUCCUGGAUUCAGCGUCGUACGGGUGAGUAAUGCCUAGGAAUCUGCCUGGUAGUUGUUUAUAACGUCCGGCACCGGGCUCUAAUACCGCAUACGUCCUGAGGUCUCAAGUGGGGGAUCUUCGGACCUCACGCUCUCAUCUGCUCCUAGGUCGGAUUAGCUAGUUGGUGGGGUAAAGGCCUACCAAGGCGACGAUCCGUAACUGGUCUGAGAGGAUGAUCAGUAACACUGGAACUGAGACACGGUCCAGACGCAAACGGAAGGCAGCAGUGGGGAAUAUUGGACAAAGGGCGAAAGUCUGAUCCAGGCAUGGCGCGUGUGUGAAGAAGGUCUUCGGAUUGGAAAGAACUUUACGUUGGGAGGAAGGGCAGUAAGGUAAGACCUUGCUGGUUUGACGUUACAAACAGAAUAAGAACCGGAUAACUUCGUG